AAGUCGUAACAAGGUUUCCGUAGGUGAACCUGCGGAAGGAUCAUUAAUGAAUUUGGAGAAUUGAUGCUGGCCUUUGUGCAUGUGCUCGUUCUCUUUAAUCCAUACACACCUGUGCACUUGUGAGACAGAUUGCUUUUUGGAGGGGGAACUUUAUUGGACCCUUUCUUUUUGGCUCUCUGUCUACUUAAUUAAUAUAAACUCAAUUUAUUUUAAAAUGAAUGUAAUGGAUGUAACACAUCUAAUACUAAGUUUCAACAACGGAUCUCUUGGCUCUC
rnacentral:misc_RNA from 1 species